GCGCCGCACCUCGCCGCGCCCGACCCCGCGCCCGCGCACUCCUAGGUACGAGAGCCCCGACCCGGCGACAUGUAAACGUAGCACGUGCAAGGACAAUAGCCGAGGGCGCCCGGCGCAUCCGCUGCAGCGCGCGACGCGCCAGUGCUCCCACACAGACGCUCGCCGCGAGCGCCGUGGACUCGUGGCUCGUCUAUUGUAUUCUUCCUGUUCUUCUAGUGUAAGCCCCACCCCCCCGCCCCUCACGCAUACAUCCCCCCUCCCACCCCCUAAUAAAUCGGUUCCUACCCAAUGUUUCUUUUCAUUUGCGAAAAAGAGUGCCUUUUACUAGUAAUCUGUCAGAAUUGUAUCGAUUCGUAUGUCUUUAUUAUAUGUACUUUUUAUUUUGUUAUUUGACGCGUAAGGGUAUUUUUUAUGCGCUAAGUUUAUUUAUGUAUUGAGCUUAUAUGUUGUUAUGUUAUUUUUAUGUGCAAUCAUAAUUUUUUUAUCGUGAUUCGGCUGAUUGCGGUUUGCGCGACUCGUCCUGAUGCAUUUUUUUUUUUUGCCAAUCGAUGAAUUCCUGAACGAAUUUUUGGUGUCGCGCCGUCAAUCGUAUGUAACGUUGUUUUUUUUACUUACGGGAAUAUUGUUGCGCGUAACGGAUGUAUAUUCUGACGUGGAAUGAAUCGUGCGUAUCCAGUAGGACAUUUUAAGUUCGUAGAACGUAACCUAACCGACAUGUUCGGCCGCGAGUUAGCGCAGAUUAUCCCAAAUGUUCCGAGCAGAUAACGAAAUUUUUGUUACGUCAUAUAGCCAGCCGGAAUUUGGUGAUGUUCAUAGUUUUUCGUAAGUAGACCCUAGUUGCGUUGUUGACUGUAUAAGUAGGGAUAUAAGUACAUUUUUACCUAAGUAGAUUAUUUAGGUCGCCUCACACGUUGCGAUAAAUGGGAUUAUACGAUAAUAUUUAAUACGUAAUUACCGUGAGUUUAUACACUCGUGUUGUAACUUUUCAAUCGAUAUUGUAUUCAAGUAAUUAUAAAUAAUUUAAGUACGUUUUUAUCGAUUGUGAGGAAAAAUUUCACGUUGUGCAAGAUUGAAGACCACAGAUAAUAAAUAUCGUUUAAUAUUAACAAAACGUGUGAGGGACAGUAGGUUAUUGUUUGAAACCUCACUAGGUGAUAUAAUAUUAAAAUAAGAAUAAUGGAUGACGAUAGUCAUAAAGGAUGGUUUCAUGAAGUAGCACAAUUUAUUAGCUAUAGAAAAAAACGGGCGCUAAACGGUUGAGAGAGCAAAUAAGCAAUAAUGUUAAAUAUGUUAUCCUUCCUCACUUAGCAGUUGCAUAAAUGUCGUCAUGGAACAUAUCAGAAGGUCGCAAUAGAUAGCAGAUAGCUCGAUGGAGAAGCUCGGCAGCGAGCGGCCGCUGCCCGCCCUGCUCGCGCCACACGCGGCCGUCGCUUUACUUUUGUUCCAUAGAGAAUGCGCGGAAUGGCGGGAAAUGCAAUUGUCAAAAAUGUUUCAUCAUUUUCAAGUGCAUCAUAUUCGUAUAUAACCUAAAAAUAAACAAAAAUAUUUAAUUAAUUAUAAGUGUGUAAAUAUUAAGUAAUCGUAUAGGCUGAAUGGAACGAAAGUGAAGAACGUGGGUACUAUCUAUAGCACAUUCUGUUUAACGCUAUAGUAAAGAUAAAGUUCACAACUGUACGUCCAAAUUGUCCAUUUAUAUGUUAAAUGUACCUAAUGCAAAUUACAAUAAUGUAAUCUUUAGAUUGUAUUUUAGUACACGAGGUUUAAGAUUGUAGCGAUGUUGAGAAGGCCGAGCGGCGCUUAGCGGUAUUCUUUGAGUUACACUUCGAUGACUAUCUAAAACAACUUAUUUUUACUGUACACGUAAGUUAUUUCAUAUUUUAACUGAAUAAAUUGAAAUGGUUAUUA